GUGAGAGCAAGGAGUACGAGAAUGGGGUAGAGGAGGACGGUGACUUCGGGACAGACCACCUAAUUUGUGGAUCAGAUGGACUUCAGACAAUGUCAAGGUACGUACGAGCUUGGAGGACCGAACACUGCCAUCCAAGCCUUCGCUGACUUGAGGUAGAAAUACAAAGGGUUCAUUCUGAAG